GACUUCAAUGAUCCAGGUGACAAGAAUUUCAUAAUAAAACAUCUCUUUGUGAAAAUCAACACCAUCCUGAAAAGAUUAGUUGAGGAGGGCACAGAGACAAAACGGUUACAAGAAGACUUGAGGCAAUCCAAUAUAAGAUUUGAAGCUCUUACCAAAUUGUAAGUACAC
rnacentral:sRNA from 1 species